rnacentral:rRNA from 1 species
CCUACGGGUAGGCAGCAGUGAGGAAUAUUGGUCAAUGGGCGGGAGCCUGAACCAGCCAAGCCGCGUGAGGGAAGAAGGUACAGCGUAUCGUAAACCUCUUUUGUCAGGGAACAAAGGCGGGGACUAGUCACCGGAUGAGGGUACCUGAAGAAAAAGCAUCGGCUAACUCCGUGCCAGCAGCCGCGGUAAGACGGAGGAUGCGAGCGUUAUCCGGAUUUAUUGGGUUUAAAGGGUGCGCAGGCGGCCUGUUAAGUCAGCGGGAAAAGCCCGGGGCUCAACCCCGGCGAGCCGUUGAAACUGGCGGGCUGGAGUUGGAGAGAAGUACGCGGAAUGCGCGGUGUAGCGGUGAAAUGCUUAGAUAUCGCGCAGAACCCCGAUUGCGAAGGCAGCGUACCGGCUCCACACUGACGCUGAGGCACGAAAGCGUGGGUAUCGAACAGGAUUAGAUACCCUUGUAGUC